AGAGUUUGAUCCUGGCUCAGAAUCAACGCUGGCGGCGUGCCUAACACAUGCAAGUCGAACGCGAGAGGGGAGCAAUCCCUGAUCGAGUGGCAAACGGGUGAGUAACACGUGGGUGACCUACCUUCGAGUGGGGGAUAACGUCCCGAAAGGGACGCUAAUACCGCAUGACAUCCUGCUUUUGGAAAAGCGGACAUUAAAGCUGGGGAUCGCAAGACCUGGCGCUUGAAGAGGGGCCCGCGCCUGAUUAGCUAGUUGGUGGGGUAACGGCUCACCAAGGCUACGAUCAGUAUCCGGCCUGAGAGGGCGGACGGACACACUGGGACUGAGACACGGCCCAGACUCCUACGGGAGGCAGCAGUGGGGAAUUGUUCGCAAUGGGCGCAAGCCUGACGACGCAACGCCGCGUGGAGGACGAAGAUCUUCGGGUCGUAAACUCCUGUCGAGCGGGAAGAACGCUUCCCGGGUAAAUAUCCUGGGAAAUUGACGGUACCGCUAAGGAAGCCCCGGCUAACUCCGUGCCAGCAGCCGCGGUA
rnacentral:rRNA from 1 species